rnacentral:lncRNA from 1 species
UAAAUUAUUUUAUUAAUACUGGAUUUUAUACAUGUAGGGGAGUGAUUUCAUACAACGGUAGACUAUAAUGCUAAGAAACUAUGAGAAUGAAAUCAUUUGGAAAAGUCGAUACCCAAAUUCCCACCCUUAUGUCUAUCUUAGACCCUCUCUUUCUCACUCUCAUUCUUUCUCUCUAUCUCUCUCUUUCUAAAAAGAGGACGCUUCAAUUCUCUCUCUUUCUCUCUAAGUCUAUCCGUCUAUCCGAAGAGUUGAAAAUUAUUCUUUUGAGAAAAUCCGGUAUACUUCGAAAGAUUUAUUACUGAACUACAAUCUGUCUCUCCGCACACGCAUGUACAUG